UUGUGGGGGCAUCUUUGUGGAUUUCUGUGGGCCUCUCUAGCACUUUGCUUCUUUCUUUUCUCAUGUGGUCUUCAUUUACCAUGGUCUCCUAUUCCUUGUUCUCCCUCUUUGUUCUUGGUCUAGCUGGUAUCUCCCGCUCCCCCAGGCUUUCUUUCCCUCGACCCUCGCCCUUCAUUAAUCCCACUCAUGUCCAGGUUGUUCAUGUAGAUCUCAGCCAUUUCUCCGUCAUUGGGCGAUCUCUUAAACCAUCUCCACAGACCC